rnacentral:rRNA from 1 species
CAGCCUGCCAGUGACUACAAGUUCAACGGCCGCGGUAUUUUGACCGUGCAAAGGUAGCGCAAUCACUUGUCUUUUAAAUAGAGACCUGUAUGAAUGGCUAAACGAGGGCUUAACUGUCUCCCCUUUCCAGUCAGUGAAAUUGAUCUGCCCGUGCAGAAGCGGACAUAAAAAUACAAGACGAGAAGACCCUUUGGAGCUUAAGGUACAAAACUCAACCGCGUCAAGCAACUCAAUAAAAAGCAAAAACUUUGCGGAACAUGAGAUUUUACCUUCGGUUGGGGCGACCACGGAGGAAAACAAAGCCUCCAAGUGGAUUGGGAAAACCUCCUAAAACCAAGAGAGACAUCUCUAAGCCACAGAACAUCUGACCAAACAUGAUCCGGCUGCCCGAAGCCGAUCAACGAACCAAGUUACCCUAGGGAUAACAGCGCAAUCCUCUCCCAGAGUCCAUAUCGACGAGAGGGUUUACGACCUCGAUGUUGGAUCAGGACAUCCUAAUGGUGCAGCCGCUAUUAAGGGUUCGUUUGUUCAACGAUUAAAGUCCUACGUGAUCUGA